UGGUAGGUAAAAGCACAAUACUCUAAGGGCGUGUUUGGUUCGAAGUCGGAAUCGAAAUCGGAAAUGGAAUGGAAAUAAGCUGGAAUCGGAAUCGAAAUUACUCAUUACCUCAUUCUGUUUGGUUCGUCACCUUAAUCCGAAUCAAAAUAAAUCAUUUUCAUUGUCGGUGUUCUGUUUAGUUAGUUAUCAGAAACGAAAUCAAAUUAAUAUGCCAUUUUUAUCCUUUAUAAUAUAUUUUAAUUACUUUUAACUAUUUUGAAUACUCUAUUUAAAAUAUAAAUGAGUAACUGACAAAAUAAUGAAUAAAAAAUAAAAUAAAUUUAUAUUUUAUUAUUAUUUAUUAUGAAAAUAAACUAUUUAUUAUUAUUUUUAUUGUAUUAAUUACAUAAUAAUAUAUAAAUUAUAAAAUUUCAUAUGACUUUAAUAA
rnacentral:lncRNA from 1 species